GCCAAAGCUGAGUGGCAGAGCAUCCGUCUCACAUGCGGAAGGUCCUUGGUUCAAUCCCCAGCAUCUCCA